CCCGCACAAGCGGUGGAGCAUGUGGUUUAAUUCGACGCAACGCGAAGAACCUUACCAGGGCUUGACAUCCCCUGACCGCGUAUGAAAGUACGUUUUCACCCUCGGGUGACAGGGAGACAGGUGGUGCAUGGUUGUCGUCAGCUCGUGUCGUGAGAUGUUGGGUUAAGUCCCGCAACGAGCGCAACCCCUACGUUUAGUUGCUAACGCGUGAAGGCGAGCACUCUAGACGAACUGCCGUUGACAAAACGGAGGAAGUGGGGAUGACGUCAAAUCAUCAUGCCCCUUAUGUUCUGGGCUACACACGUGCUACAAUGGCCGGUACAGACGGACGCAAAGCCGCGAGGUGGAGCAAAUCCUAAAAAGCCGGUCUCAGUUCGGAUUGCAGGCUGCAAUUCGCCUGCAUGAAGUCGGAACCGCUAGUAAUCGCAGGUCAGCAUACUGCGGUGAAUACGUUCCCGGGCCUU
rnacentral:rRNA from 1 species